rnacentral:tRNA from 1 species
GGGCGCGUAGCUCAGCUGGUUAGAGUGCUUGCAUGACACGCAAGAGGUCAGAGGUUCGAGUCCUCUCGCGCCCACUA